rnacentral:piRNA from 1 species
UCAUCAAAGUAUGGAGUGGGUAGU